CGCUCCCUGCCCGGCCCGGCCCGCUCCACUCCGCUCCCGCCCUGCGCGACCGUGCCCUAAGCAAAAUGCGCUGGUAUCGCCACGGCCUUCAGGAGUAGCGGAAAGCAGGUCACGAAAGCUGGUGUGCUGGUGGUCGGACAAGGAAAUGGGUAAAAUGGGAAACUGCUGAGGAUAGUCACUUUUCGCUGUUUCCUCUAAUUGGUUCUUCUCUGUAAACAACUCAGGAUCCAGACACCUGAAACACAAGCUGAGGUGCUCUUUCACCAAGUAGUGUGAGGAAGAUUCACCACUCAACAAAAAAUUGUGGGAAGAAUGGAAAAGAAUGUGUGUCCUCUUGACUCAGUAACUUCUCACUUGACAUGUAAAGACCUGAACUUGGCAAAGUGUCUCAGAGCUUUUCUGCAUAAUAAAAUUAAGAUCCUUAAACAAAAGAAACUCACCAAAUGGAAACCCAACAGGAAUUUCUCAGAUAGUCAUACUGUUCCUAUCAGAAAGGAACUUUGCUAAGUAGCUGCAGUGAUGUAGUUGCUUCAUUUUGAGUCUUCAAUAAAAUGUCUACAUACCUUCAUUCAUUGUCCUUUUUUUCUGCCAGAAAUGAACCUCCACAAACAAUAGCAUUUUUUACACUUGCAAGAACCCUGAUGGUAAUUAAGUUUCUAAUGUAUUUUCUGUAACUUCCUUUGGUUUUUAUUCUGGCUUUGGAAAUUUGUAAUUAUUUAGCAUACAUCUUUGUUUCCUCUCUCACCCUCUGGCUGUCUGGUCUGUUUAGGUUGCAUAUUUCUGUGAUGUUUGUGCUAUGUUUGCACAUUGCCCAGUGUUAAGCAACU